GAACGAGAAAGUGGAGCAAUCCAUGAGUAAAGUGGCGCACGGGUGAGUAACACGUGACUAACCUACCUUUUAGUGGGGGAUAACCUAGGGAAACCUGGGCUAAUACCGCAUAACACUUACGAGUCAAAGCAGCAAUGCGCUGAAAGAGGGGGUCGCGGUCGAUUAGGUAGUUGGCAGGGUAAUGGCCUACCAAGACUGUGAUCGAUAUCCGGCCUGAGAGGGCGCACGGACACACUGGAACUGAAACACGGUCCAGACUCCUACGGGAGGCAGCAGUGGGGAAUUUUGCGCAAUGGGGGAAACCCUGACGCAGCAACGCCGCGUGGAGGAUGAAGUCCCUUGGGACGUAAACUCCUUUCGAUCGGGAAGAUUAUGACGGUACCGGAAGAAGAAGCCCCGGCUAACUUCGUGCCAGCAGCCGCGGUAAUACGAGGGGGGCAAGCGUUGUUCGGAAUUAUUGGGCGUAAAGGGUGCGUAGGUGGUUCGGCAAGUCUUGUGUGAAAUCUUCAGGCUCAACUUGAAGUCUGCACAAGAAACUGCCGGGCUUGAGUAUGGGAGAGGUGAGUGGAAUUUCCGGUGUAGCGGUGAAAUGCGUAGAUAUCGGAAGGAACACCUGUGGCGAAAGCGGCUCACUGGACCAUUACUGACACUGAGGCACGAAAGCUAGGGGA
rnacentral:rRNA from 1 species